CGAGUUGUGCGGGUUCAGACCCGCGGCGAACGGCUCCGUAACACGUGGUCAAGCUACCCUGUGGACUGGGACACUCUCGGGAAACUGAGGCUAAUCCUAGAUAGCGUUUUUAGCCUGGAGUGGCAGAAACGCCAAACGCUCCGGCGCCACAGGAUGCGACUGCGGCCGAUUAGGUAGACGGUGGGGUAACGGCCCACCGUGCCGAUAAUCGGUACGGGUAGUGAGAGCUAGAGCCCGGAGACGGACUCUGAGACAAGAGUCCGGGCCCUACGGGGCGCAGCAGGCGCGAAACCUUUACACUGCGCGACAGCGCGAUAGGGGGAUCCCAAGUGCGAGGGCAUACAGUCCUCGCUUUUUCCUACCGUAAGGGGGUAGGCGAAUAAGAGCUGGGCAAGACCGGUGCCAGCCGCCGCGGUAAUA
rnacentral:rRNA from 1 species